rnacentral:rRNA from 1 species
GAUGAACGCUAGCGACAGGCCUAACACAUGCAAGUCGAGGGGCAGCACAAGGAUAGCAAUAUUCUGGUGGCGACCGGCGCACGGGUGAGUAACACGUAUGCAACCUACCUGUAAGAGGGGAAUAACCGGAGAAAUUCGGACUAACACCGCAUAAUACUGUUGAACUGCAUGGUUUAACAGUUAAAUAUUUAUAGCUUACAGAUGGGCAUGCGUAUGAUUAGAUAGUUGGUAGGGUAACGGCCUACCAAGUCAACGAUCAUUAGGGGUUCUGAGAGGAAGGUCCCCCACAUUGGAACUGAGACACGGUCCAAACUCCUACGGGAGGCAGCAGUGAGGAAUAUUGGUCAAUGGGCGAGAGCCUGAACCAGCCAAGUCGCGUGAAGGAAGAAGGUUCUAUGGAUUGUAAACUUCUUUUGUAAGGGAAUAAAAUGCGCUACGUGUAGUGUUUUGUAUGUACUUUACGAAUAAGGAUCGGCUAACUCCGUGCCAGCAGCCGCGGUAAUACGGAGGAUCCGAGCGUUAUCCGGAUUUAUUGGGUUUAAAGGGUGCGUAGGCGGACCCGUAAGUCAGUGGUGAAAGUUUGCAGCUUAACUGUAAAAUUGCCAUUGAAACUACGGAUCUUGAGUGUAAAUGAGGUAGGCGGAAUGUGUUGUGUAGCGGUGAAAUGCGUAGAUAUCAGGAGGAACACCGGUGGUGUAGACGGCUUUCUGGACCGUAACUGACGCUGAGACACGAAAGCGUGGGUAGCAAACAGGAUUAGAUACCCUGGUAGUCCACGCCCUAAACGAUGCAUAUUUGGUGUGGGUCAUUCAGUUGAUCUGUGCCGGAGCUAACGCGUUAAAUAUGCCGCCUGGGGAGUACAGUCGCAAGGCUG